GGUCCCGUAGUGUAGAGGCUAUCACCUCAGAUUCUGAUUUUCUGGAAACCUGGGUUCGAUUCCCAGUGGGACCU